rnacentral:rRNA from 1 species
CAGCCGCCACGGGAAUACGAAGGGUGCAAGCGUUAAUCGGAAUUACUGGGCGUAAAGCGUGCGUAGGCGGUGGGUUAAGUCUGCUGUGAAAUCCCCGGGCUCAACCUGGGAAUGGCAGUGGAUACUGGCUCGCUAGAGUGUGUCAGAGGAUGGUGGAAUUCCCGGUGUAGCGGUGAAAUGCGUAGAGAUCGGGAGGAACAUCAGUGGCGAAGGCGGCCAUCUGGGACAACACUGACGCUGAGGCACGAAAGCGUGGGGAGCAAACAGGAUUAGAUACCCGCGUAGUCCCUGUCUCUUAUAC